rnacentral:rRNA from 1 species
UUGAACUGAAGAGUUUGAUCCUGGCUCAGAUUGAACGCUGGCGGCAUGCCUUACACAUGCAAGUCGAACGGCAGCACGGGCUUCGGCCUGGUGGCGAGUGGCGAACGGGUGAGUAAUACAUCGGAACAUGUCCUGUAGUGGGGGAUAGCCCGGCGAAAGCCGGAUUAAUACCGCAUACGAUCUACGGAUGAAAGCGGGGGACCUUCGGGCCUCGCGCUAUAGGGUUGGCCGAUGGCUGAUUAGCUAGUUGGUGGGGUAAAGGCCUACCAAGGCGACGAUCAGUAGCUGGUCUGAGAGGACGACCAGCCACACUGGGACUGAGACACGGCCCAGACUCCUACGGGAGGCAGCAGUGGGGAAUUUUGGACAAUGGGGGCAACCCUGAUCCAGCAAUGCCGCGUGUGUGAAGAAGGCCUUCGGGUUGUAAAGCACUUUUGUCCGGAAAGAAAUCCUUGGCCCUAAUACAGUCGGGGGAUGACGGUACCGGAAGAAUAAGCACCGGCUAACUACGUGCCAGCAGCCGCGGUAAUACGUAGGGUGCGAGCGUUAAUCGGAAUUACUGGGCGUAAAGCGUGCGCAGGCGGUUUGCUAAGACCGAUGUGAAAUCCCCGGGCUCAACCUGGGAACUGCAUUGGUGACU